GAUGAAGAACGUAGCGAACUGCGAUAAGUAAUGUGAAUUGCAGAAUUCAGUGAAUCAUCGAGUCUUUGAACGCACAUUGCGCCCCCUGGCAUUCCGGGGGGCAUGCCUGUCCGAGCGUCAUUGCUGCCCUUCAAGCCCGGCUUGUGUGUUGGGUCGUCGUCCCCCCCGGGGGACGGGCCCGAAAGGCAGCGGCGGCACCGCGUCCGGUCCUCGAGCGUAUGGGGCUUUGUCACCCGCUCGACUAGGGCCGGCCGGGCGCCAGCCGGCGUCUCCAACCUUCUAUUUUACCAGGUUGACCUCGGAUCAGGUAGGGAUACCCGCUGAACUUAAGCAUAUCAAUAAGCGGAGGA
rnacentral:misc_RNA from 1 species